CUCAAGGUUCAAGGACAACUUUAAAGCUUUGAAAAUAUAAUUUGGCGAUUUCUUGUUAAUUUUUCUCCUUUUUGAAAGUGGACACAAGACAAGUGUUGCAGUAGUGUUAAGUGUUAACUCCGACGAUGACAAGUUUCGCUCGAAAUUUUAUGAACCAAUAUUAUAAAAGAGCGAACAAUGUUCGAAUGUACCAGGAGUUAUUUCAGAAAGCCCACAAUGUUCCUGUACAUUUAAGAGGUCCAUCGGAUCAAGCCAUCUACCAGGGCCUGAUGGGUCUAUCAUUUUUUGGGAUUGGUGUGUCUCUUUGUACUAUAUAUGCAAUGGCAUCAGGAACAUUAAAAAAAAAGUGAGAUUUUGCAAAGCUUGUAGAGCAGUAUUCAAAAUAUAUGUUUUUAAUAUUAUCCUCAUUUAUUGACAUGUCUGGAUAUUCUAUAUUUAAGGAAAUAAUAAGAUUGCAUCUUUACAAAAUAAAAUAGAUUCCAGUCUAACAGAGGCAGAUGAUUCAUUUUUUAUUCAAAUAUACCUACCUGCCUGAGUAUUGUCAAUAUUGAAGUUAUAUGCUAUCUCCAGGAUUCAGUUUUCUUCAACACGUCUUGCAAUCAUGUAGUACUUUCUGGAU